UACGGAGGGAGCUAGCGUUGUUCGGAAUUACUGGGCGUAAAGCGCGCGUAGGCGGCUUUGUAAGUUAGAGGUGAAAGCCCGGGGCUCAACUCCGGAACUGCCCUUAAGACUGCAUCGCUUGAAUCCGGGAGAGGUGAGUGGAAUUCCGAGUGUAGAGGUGAAAUUCGUAGAUAUUCGCAAGAACACCAGUGGCGAAGGCGGCUCACUGGCCCGAUACUGACGCUGAGGCACGAAAGCGUGGGGAGCAAACAGG
rnacentral:rRNA from 1 species